rnacentral:rRNA from 1 species
UACGUGCCAGCAGCCGCGGUAAUACGUAGGUGGCAAGCGUUGUCCGGAAUUAUUGGGCGUAAAGCGCGCGCAGGCGGAUUGGUCAGUCUGUCUUAAAAGUUCGGGGCUUAACCCCGUGAUGGGAUGGAAACUGCCAAUCUAGAGUAUCGGAGAGGAAAGUGGAAUUCCUAGUGUAGCGGUGAAAUGCGUAGAUAUUAGGAAGAACACCAGUGGCGAAGGCGACUUUCUGGACGAAAACUGACGCUGAGGCGCGAAAGCCAGGGGAGCGAACGGGAUUAGAUACCCCGGUAGUCCUGGCCGUAAACGAUGGGUACUAGGUGUAGGAGGUAUCGACCCCUUCUGUGCCGGAGUUAACGCAAUAAGUACCCCGCCUGGGGAGUACGACCGCAAGGUUGAAACUCAAAGGAAUUGACGGGGGCCCGCACAAGCGGUGGAGUAUGUGGUUUAAUUCGACGCAACGCGAAGAACCUUACCAGGUCUUGACAUUGAUGGACAGAACUAGAGAUAG